CCUACGGGUGGCAGCAGUGAGGAAUAUUGGUCAAUGGGCGAGAGCCUGAACCAGCCAAGUCGCGUGAGGGAGUACUGCCCUAUGGGUUGUAAACCUCUUUUGUCGGGGAGCAAAAGCCGGACGUGUCCGGCUGUGAGAGUACCCGAAGAAAAAGCAUCGGCUAACUCCGUGCCAGCAGCCGCGGUAAUACGGAGGAUGCGAGCGUUAUCCGGAGUUAUUGGGUUUAAAGGGUGCGCAGGCGGAUUUUUAAGUCAGCGGUAAAAUCGUGGGGCUCAACCCCAUCCAGCCGUUGAAACUGGGGAUCUAGAGUGUGCGAGAGGUAUGCGGAAUGCGUGGUGUAGCGGUGAAAUGCAUAGAUAUCACGCAGAACCCCGAUUGCGAAGGCAGCAUACCGGUGCACAACUGACGCUCAGGCACGAAAGCGUGGGUAUCGAACAGGAUUAGAUACCCCUGUAGUC
rnacentral:rRNA from 1 species